AUAUAUAUAUAUAUAUAUAUAUAUAUAUAUAUAUAUAUAUAUAUAUAUAUAUAUAUAUAUAUAUUUAAACGGCCAAUGUAACAGAGACAUUAUCCAUCACCUGCAAAUUAACGAUCAUACAAACAGAGGAACACAUGUAUACAUACAUGUACUUAUAUAUACGCGUACAAGAACUCAUGUGCGUGCUUUUGUGUGUGUGUGUGUGUGUGUGUGUCCUGUGUGUGCGUGUUACGUGUAAUGUAAUAUGUUCAUAUGAGUGUCGAUAUAUGUAUGUUGAUUAAUUAAACUCGAACUAUAUAAUACUAAAAUUAGGCUGUGGGCGAGAUUUUCGCUAGCAACGUACGGGCAGGGCCUGGCUAUUGCGCUCGCUCCAGCUACUGCCUCCGCCACUCUGUUGCUACAGGCGCAGGGCGCGCUAGAGAGGCUCUGGCAUCAGCUAUCAUGCCACCGCCUCAAUGGACCGUUGUUGGGUCUGAUUAGCUUGAGCGGCCAGCGCAGGGGACUCUAUUCUGGCAACAACGACCUGGCCAGCCCAGAUGGCGUACAGCACAGCGUAGGACUGAUAUCCAGUAUGUAGGAAAACUGAUAAUAUACAAUAUCGUUGUGUCAUGAUACAAGUCGAAAACUUUGAAUUACUUACCAAGCCCACGCGCGGCGACAUCGGUAGCAACAAGGAUUGGUGCUUUGCCUGAUCUGAAAUCUACACACAAAUCGAUUGAGAUACUUCAAGUCGCCCGUACCUUGUAAAACCCAAUCUCGUUCCUGUUGUGUCUUGUCCCCGUGAAUGCAAACAGCGGGCCAACCGUCGCGUUUCAUUUUUCGUGUAAUUUCGUCUACUCUACGCUUUGUUUCAAUAAAUACUAUAGUUUUAUUCUCA